rnacentral:lncRNA from 10 species
GGCUGCCCUUGGGAAAAGAGGAUCUAGGAUCCAGUUGGUGCAGCUUAUGGCUUGUCCCUGUGUGUAUAGUUGUUAAAUUAUUCUUUUAUUUUUAUUUUUAAGAAGUUAUUCUUUAGAUAAUAAUAGGCAUGUAGCUUAAAAGGAAACCUCAAAAGACACAAAGGAUUUGUCUCAUUUUAAAUUAAAAAAAUACUGUAUCAGCAUCAAGUAAUUAAACAUUUGUUGGAAUAUCAAAAAAAA